CAUCGGGGCUGGGCCGGCCCCGGCUCCCCGGGGCCCCGGCGUCCGAGUCCAUGGCGGUGCCCAUGCUGCUGCUCAACCUCGUGGACCAGCUGGGGGAGGCGGACGAGGAGCUGGCGGGCAACCACGCGGAGCUGGGGGACUGGUGCGCCCAGAGGAUCCUGCAGCAUGUCCAAGACAGCCACUUUGGUGGUGGUAGCAGGAUAUCCUGCUUGGAGAUGGUCGGACUUGGCAGGUGCCUGGAGGAUGAACUUCAGGAAGGUGUGGGAGAUGCAUUUGGCCAACUGUCACUAUCAGGGAGUGAACUUCUAAAAUUCAAGAAGAAUUUGGAACUCUGUCUCCGAAUGCUACUGUUAUUAUAAUUUUGUCGUCCACUUUCACCCUCCGACUGUCAGGGUCGGCCUUCCGCGACAGGGGCCAUGGUCUCAGCUGCCGGCACCUGUUUCUCGGGUUCCCGCGCCAUGUGCUCUCAGGCUUUACGCCGGCAGCUGCUUGAUGCCUAACGCUUUUCAAGCAGCCCACUGGACUUCGGAAGAAAAGUUUCAGUAGCAUGCUUUCCAGAAGGAACUUUGUACCUAGGAUAAACAGUUUGGUCAAAUCUCAGAAAAUCUUUGUGUUUAGUUACUACAGCAGUCCUUGUGACAGCAACUAUUUCCUAAAGCACGUUAUAAAGUCUGGUGUGAAGUGUGUUUAGUCGAGAUCAAAUGUGUUUUAAGAGCCUUGUUUUUCCCUGAAACUUGGUUCCUUUCUUCAUGUGUUACAUUCUUUAUUAUUUCAAGAUCAGAGAUGAUUUAUCGAAGACACAGUUGUAUACAAGUUGGGAGAUAGUUCCUCCUGGAAGUUCUGCUUUAUUUCAUCCUGGCAAAAAUGAGAAUUCUCCAUAGGACUUUUUCCGAAAACACUCACGGCCUACGUGGAAUCAAACAACUGAAUGAUGCAUCCCAUUCUGAAAGUCGUUCUACUCAGUGCUACGAUGGGGUCCUCAGGGAAGUGGAGGGUCCCGGAGCAGCUGAGUGAAACUGAGGGCAGGAGCGAGGGGGCCAGAAACCGAGGGCACGUUAAAAAGCAGGAAACCCAAACCACUAUGCGAGUCUACCAAACCAGCGAGUGAGGAAUUAUUCUGUGUCGUAUUAACAACACAUAAACACUCUCUAUUUUAUAUGCUUUUAAAUUUAUUGUUAAUUACACAAGCAAAACAUGAAUAUAAUUCUCAUUUUAAAAUAUUAAACAAAUAGGAAUAAAAUAAAAGCUCCUUUUAGCCAUUCUCUAGGCCCCUCUCAAUUCCCCCUUUCCCGGAAGAUCCUUCCCGACAUUUCCUGCAUGUUUACAUGCAUAUAUGUACGGACACACUGGAGAGUUUCUCAUACUAUAUGCUUAUUCUGCAACUUGCUCUCUCUCCCAAUUCCCCCUUUCCCAGAAGAUCCAUAAGGAAGCGUGCCUGGGAGAGAGUUCUUAAUUAUAGCUCUGUACUCCACAGCAUGGAUAUAGCAGACUUUGUUCCCAGCUUCCCCUCCUCGGUGCACAUUUAGGGGUCCUGCGGGGUUUCGCUGAUGGGCACAAUGCCGCAUGGACACUCUUGCCCCAUCACACACACACACACACACACACACACACACACGAACACUGCUGUAAGAUUGAGUCAGGGAGGGCAGCGCUAGAUGGCUCCAACCAAGAGACCACCAAUGAUGCAGCUAGUGGCUUAGAGAAGACUGAACAUUGUUACUCGCUCUCAUAAGGGUCAGCCGAGCACUCCAGGUUGAAGGGACAUCUCUGUUCCACGCCGUCACUCAGGAAGCCCAGUGCUUCUCAAACCAUUUGUGGUGAAAGACCAGUUUAUGUCCACCCACCCCCCCCCCAAUCCAUUUUGCCCAAGGCUUUUGUAAAAUGCAAUAAAGAUAUCAUGGUGA